rnacentral:rRNA from 1 species
UCCCAGACUCCUACGGGAGGCAGCAGUGAGGAAUAUUGGUCAAUGGGCGGGAGCCUGAACCAGCCAAGUCGCGUGAGGGAAGACGGUCCUACGGAUUGUAAACCUCUUUUGCCGGGGAGCAACGGGGUCCUUGCGAGGGCCCGAUGAGAGUACCCGGAGAAAAAGCAUCGGCUAACUCCGUGCCAGCAGCCGCGGUAAUACGUAGGGGGCAAGCGUUAUCCGGAUUUACUGGGUGUAAAGGGAGCGUAGACGGCCAGACAAGUCUGAAGUGAAAAUCCAGCGCUUAACGUUGGAAGUGCUUUGGAAACUGCCGGGCUGGAGUGCAGGAGGGGCAGGCGGAAUUCCUAGUGUAGCGGUGAAAUGCGUAGAUAUUAGGAGGAACACCAGUGGCGAAGGCGGCCUGCUGGACUGCAACUGACGUUGAGGCUCGAAGGCGUGGGGAGCAAACAGGAUUAGAUACCCCAGUA